rnacentral:lncRNA from 1 species
UUCUAUUUGAAGCGUUAGAGUAGUAUAAGUAGAAGUUGUCGUUCGUAUAUACAGUGGACGCAUGAGGGACAGAGACAGUGGGAAUGUUAGCGAGGAUUUUUUUGCAAUUGGAAGCACAGUUGGAGUGUUGCGCAUGGCGAGGUUGUUGAUGAGCGAUUAUUUACGUGUUUGAUGAGUGAUGCGGAGAGAGUAAAGGAAGACGAAAGACAGAUUAGCAUUUAUUUAUUUAUGAAUUUCUAUACUUAAUUAUUUUUAAAUAAAAAAUACUUGUGCUAAAAAUAGAAAAUAAAACACAUUGCUGGCACACAUUCAAGCAGUCAGGCGUAACACAGGUGGCAGACAUUGUGUCAGAAGCUUAGAUUAUUAAAAAAAAAA